rnacentral:lncRNA from 1 species
CAGCUUCUUUGGGCUGUGCACCAGGCUCUCACGUGGCUGGGGGAGGCAGCAGCAGGCAGAUCAGUGCACGAGGGAAAAAGGCAGGGCAAAGCAGCUGGUUACAGCAUUUGUCUGCAUGAUGGAGAAACUUUUCCGGGAUCACAACACUACCAGGGAAGGUGGGGGUCAGCGAAUGUCCCAGCCCUAAAGGCUAUGUACAGAGCCUCUAUGGCCCCAGCUCUUGCGGUCUCUUAUUGCUUUUUUCUCCAAAGCAGGACCUGCACUAAAAGCCUGUGUGCGAAUGCCUUUCCCUGCCACACAUGGACAAACCAUGACUGAAUGGCUCAUGAGUCAGAAAUUGGCCCUGGGGGACUGCAAUCUGAUGUGGAGAAUCACCAGAAAUGGCGCUGACAGAAACCAUCAGAGGCUGUUUUCCAUUCCCCCACCCAAGGCAGGCCCGGUGGGUCUAAGCCAUUGCUGACAGGUGUGCAUCUGGUUCCUGGGAUGCCCCAGCGUCUCCUGGGGAACCUCUCCCAGAGGGAAUGCUUCCUGAGUUCCCUGGCUGUAAUGUUAAGCCUUUGACUUUGCAUCCUGGCCCUGGGAGAUGCAGGACUUAGUCUUUUGCUUCUCACCUUGCAGCAACCUAGAGCAUGUUUGAAGACCUGUGGGAAGGCGUUAUUAUACUAGGGGUGUGGGGAGAUGUAUUCCUAAAGGCUAAAGUAUAGUCCAGGACAGAGGGACAGCCCCUCCAGAGAGUGGGUCAGAGUGUGUCUUGAACCUGGUGUCCCUCACCCCACUAUGGGCACCCGUUGCAGAAGGUACAGUUCAUUUCCA